CACAACGAAGCCGACCUUCUCGAUGAACCGGGCCGGGCCUCGUGACUCUGAAAACGGUCAUUAAACGGAUCAACAUUUCUCCCGACGUGACCGAGCGACGGGGAAUCGUACGUUAACGCAAAUGAGAUUCUACUCCCUUUCAUUAAUAUACAAGGUAAGAUUUGAAACUCGAUCGACUGCGACAUUUGGGACGAAGUGGCUGAGGAAGCUGCGAAUAUAUCAGUCGUUUAUGGGUGGUCUUUUUCAUUAAUAUACCAUCCAUCCGUCAUCCAAGCCACUUGUCCUCACAAGGGUGACGGGAAAGGCGGAGCCUAUCCCAGCUUGCUUCCGGCGAAAGGCGGACUGCACCCUGAACUGGUCGCCAGUCAGUCGCGGGGCAGAUAUCGACACCAUCGCUGAGCGGGAAUCGAUCCCACCCUGCCCGCUUCAAAGAAAGCGAAUCCACGUAGGCACGGGGAGAACAUGAAAACUCCACACAGGCGGGGCCGGGAUCGAACCCAGGACCUCCGAACUGUGAGGCCAACGCUUUCUAGUACAUUGAUAUUCUACGUUUUCUACUAAUGGACUGAAGAAUUCUACCAAUCUUGCACAAGUCUGACAGAUCUCCAGGUACACCAUCAGGGCACCCCUCCGGGCCCACUCUACUUUCCGAAAAGUGAGUCGCACAGAUGGACGAUGUCCGCCCGGAGGCGGAGUAUUGUAUCAUCACCUUCGUGGUCAAGCCGGCCCACUCAACGCGGCGCUAGCGUUACAUCUUCCCCAAGCGAUAGGCCGGUUCCGGGCUCGGCUCGGGAGGAUGACCUUGCGGCGGAACGGUGAAAAUCGAUCAGACCCCGGAAAAAGAAAGUGGACAGAAGGCAAUUCCUGACUCCUCUAACCUCCAGAUGUUGGUUCCUAGAGGUUACAGCUGCAGAUUUACGAGCCCCCGCGCCAGCCUUGGCGCAUAUUUCACACGGAUGAAUGCGCUAACGAGGACUGGCGUUUUUACGAUCCUCCUCUUCUCGCCGCAGUUUAUUUGGCGAGACGGCGACGGAGCGGAAAGUGAUGUUGAUAUUUAAAGGUGAGGCGAAAAGAUUUGGUGCAUUUGAGAAAAUUGGGAAAUUGGACGCAUCGUAUUUGGACCUCGUAAUGAGAAGGGAAAAAAACAAAAACAAAAAAAGCGGAACCCCACAAAUUAUUUUUGGUAGCUUUGACUUGUUUUUACAUUUCCCCACAAACAAACGGAAAAUAAUAAGUAAGGAACUAAGUAAUUGCAAAACUCUUCUAGUCAUUGGCCAGUCUAAAAAAAAAAAGUGACAAAUUGUAUUUGAUCAUUGCUGAAAACAUACUAGUCAUUGGUGACCCCAAAACGAGUACCGUUAUUCCUGGCCUACAGCGUGCACCUGGUUAUAAGCCUCGGUACACAGUUUAAUGCUAGCACUGUGCUAGCGUUAGGGCGGAGCUAGCAUUAGCACGAGGAUAGCGUUAGCACAGCACUAGUGUUAAACUCUUUCCGUGAACCGACGCUUAUAACCAGUGCGCUAACAUUAGCACCCCGCUAACGCUGGCGCUGCAUCACCGCAUAAACCGCGGGGUUGAAAGCGUGUGAAAAAAAUUACUCACGGAAAUUACGGUAGUGAUUAAUUAGAUAUGACCAAUGCAGGAAACAUUCUUGUCAUUGGCAACUCUGAUAAAGUUAUGAUGAAUUGCUUAUGAACCUUGCUGAAAAUAUUAUAGUCACGGGCCAUCCUAAAAAGGCCAGUACAGGAAAAAAAAUAUGAAAUAGGAGUGAUUAAUUGUAUAUGACCGUGGAAGACAUUCUAGACAUUGGUCACUCCAAAAAAAGUCAUAAUAAAUUGUGUGACCGCUUCAGUCAUUGGCUACUCUGAAUAGUGUUUACUCACAUCUGGCCACUGUAGAAAACAUGAUAGUCAUUGGCCUCUGUGAAAAAUGUAGUACUUAAAUGUAUGUGUGGACAAUAUUUAAGUUUUUGGUCACUCUAAAAAAUUAAUUGUUGAAGACCAUUGUGAUAAACAUUAUCCAGUCGUGGGCCACUCUAAAAAGUGUUUGAAUUUUACCAUCCAAUGCAAAAACCCCAAAAAAUAAUUAAUCCAGUCACUGACUAUUCUAAUAAUGCAGUGAUUAAUUCUAUGUGAUCACGACAAAAAAGGUCUUCAAGUCACGUUCCUUUGCAGUUUUCCUCGUCAAAUUCCAGAUGUCCUAGUUUUCGCGAAGGCGAUGCGUUUUACAGGGAUUUUCAUUGGUUGGGUACAGAAGGGUGAACCAGUCAAAAGUGGCCGCGGACUUCCUCACGGGCUAAUGGGACAUUCAUUACUCUCCAUUGUCCAAAACAGACAAGAAAGGCCUUGGGAUAGUGUUUCCAUCCCAUUAAACGAUGUGAAAAAUGAUAACGGCGGGUGGUAGACUUUAGAAGGGCGUGCCGUGUACGACGCCGUGUUGGCUCAUUGAUCACCAAUGACAAACUGUUAUCCCGGAGUGGCCGGAUCAAUCGCUCAUUUAGCCUUUCCGAGCGGACACAUUGACUGAUGAAGACCCCUCGCUCACCCGCAGAGAAUAAAGACAGCGUUCACGUGAUGGAGGAUUUCAACCUCCAGUGCGCCAAAACCCGCCGGCCCUUUACAUCACGCGGGAUGCCUUUUGCGAUGGUUCUAUUUUCCACGCUACUGGAGUAAAUAUUGCAAUUCGUCUUGAUAUCCGUCACGUUACGCAUUGGGCGUCUUUUUAUAGCCGUCGUUUAUUGCACGGGGGGCCUCGCGAGCUGCACUUUGCGGUCUGAAUACAUUGUCACGGCUGUCUAAUAGCGACGUAGAAUCAUUCCCGCAAACGCUAGGCGACAUUACACAACGACAACAACAACAAAAAACUGAUCUGAUUCUUGAUUUGUGUCGCUGCGCUAUCAUUUGACCACUAGAUGAUAAUAAAAUACCUACUUGGACCUUUAGGAGUAUUGCAUGUGUCGCUCAUAAUUGUUCCUCAAAGGAUAAAUAAAUACAUAUUCACUGUUAUUUAGAGGAAUUAAAUGCUGUAAAUGAGUAAAUUAAAAUACAUUUAGUAUCUGGCCAAUACAGAAAAUAUUCUAGCCAUUGCCCACUACAAAAAAUAGUGGCGAGUUCUGUCAUUGGCCACUCUGAAAUGCAGUCACUCAAUUUUAAAAAUGGACGGGUGUAAUCGGUCAUGCCCGCGGAUAUAAAGUUACUGUUGUGGUCCACCGGUCAUGCCCGCAGAUAUAUGUGAUGAGGGAUGGAAUCUCAGGACCUUAAAAUAACUUCCUGGGAUUGUCAUACCCGAGUAUGUAGUUGUUACCCAAUACCACAAUCGUAAAACAGACAUUUUCAAAGAGGUCAAUAGACAUUCAAUUUCAAAACCAAAUAUUCAUAUCAUCAAAUCAUUUUAUUUCAUCGUGAUGUAUUGUUUUAAUCCCGCGUAAUUUACGGCGCUAUCUGUUGUCAAUCCAUUGAUGAAAGCUAGCAGGAGAUGAUCUAUAUCUUCCUAAAGCAUGGAGAGGGGAAAGGUUUUCGACUUGAAGAUAAUGAGGUACUACGUUGGAAAAUUACAUAUAUAUGAUAUAUGGACAGACUAGUCUGACAUUAGAAUUUAGAUCAAGUCAAAGUAAAUCACUAUUUCAUAUUUAUUAUAGUUAGAUACUGAAAGAUUACCUGUGUUAUAUCCCAGAAAUGCUUUCAAUGUAAUAUAGGGGUACCGAGAUUUUUUCCCCCCAAGAUCUACUUUUCAAGCAGCUCGCCUCUAGCGAUCGACCGGCGUGGCGGGGGUGGCCGGAUGAACGCGUGCGUCGCCGCGACUGCUGUAAAUGCAAGGCCGGCUUGCUAGACCGCACCUUUAUGUGCGUGCGCACCACAUAUUGGCCACACCCGAAUCAAGAUUAUAGUCUAACGUCGUCGCCGUCACAAAACUGCCUCGCGAUCGACUCAUUGAGCACCCCUGGUGUAACGGAAUUUCCUUUGACGUGGCUCAUGAUGUUGAUGACUUUCGACGUAAAUGCGCUCGCAGUACGUGAAGCACCUCGGAACAUGCGCUUUUGGCAUCACUUCACGGUUAACUUCCAUUUCCUGUUUCCGGGUGAAUACUGAUUGUUUAGGAGCAGGCUUGUUUUGUUAACAACGUUUAUGAAAUAAACACGUAAAUUAAUGCCAAGACUACACAAAAUAAGCGACAUCCUUCAAUAUCUAUUUUUUCUACCCGUAACAAAUUUUGCGCGUGUGAUUUGUCGUGCUCGACUGUGCAGAUUUGCGAGCGCGAUGGCGCGCGGGCGUGAACGCACUCGUCAAAUGCUUAUGACUGAAAAUGCGCUUACAUUUAUUCGACCAAUCCAGUAAAAUCUUGUCAGCGGCCUUGCCAGAAAAUUAAUGGGAUUAAUUCUAUGUGGACAACUGAUGAAAAUGUUCUAGUCUUUGGCCAGUCUAAAAAGCGUUUAAAUAUAUCUGACCAACACAGAAUUUAUUGUCAUGAUUAGUCAUUCUAAAAAUGUAGCGAUGAAUUGCAACUGAACAAAUGAUGAAUCAUUUCCACGGUCAUUAGCCACUGGAAAAAUUUCUGACGGUGCAGAAAGUGUUGUAGUCAUUGGCCCCUCUAAAAGAGUAUUGAUGAAUUGUAUCUGAUCAUUGCUGAAAUCAGAUUUCUCUCUUUUGUUUUUUUAAAGAUUUAUCAUCCACAAAUGACUAACGGGCUAUUUCAUUGCAAGCGACUUUCUCACUUUCAUCAUUUAACCUCCAGAAGAAUCUCAUUUGGCAUUCCGCCGCACUUCUUUUGACUGUUGCUCGCGGCGCCGCCGUUCGCCGUUGGUGCGUUUCGAGGGCCACGCCGCUCUCCUGCAGACGGCGGGAUGGGAAAAA